GUCUAGUGGCCUCCUACCACCAGCCAACUGAGUGUUGGGGCUUUAGGUCAGAACCUAAUCCCAUUGGGUUUUGUGGUUUUGUUUUUAAAUGAUACAUGUAGCUAUGGAUAUCCUUAAAUUUUGAAUCUUUCAAUCUCCAUGUACCAAAUGCAGGGAUUCCAGUAAUUCUCCACCAUGUCUGGUUUAUUUUGUCCUCCGGACAAAACUCAGGGUUUCCUGUAUGUCAGCUGUCCCAACUGAGUCACACCUGUAUCUCAGCCUAUCCAGGGAUUCACAAUGUAGCUGAGGAAGAUCUGGAGUCUGGAUCGUCCCUAUGGAAUUACAGAACUGCACCAUUGACCCUGCAUUUUCUCUUUUACCAUUUCUAGAUGACCUGUCUUUCUACUGAGAGUCUUUUGAAGGACUGCAAACAUGAGCUGUAUCAGACACCACUUUUCUUCUGAAGCUGACAAAAUAGCUUUCAGAGCUGGGCUGUCCAGAUGUCCCUGAACAAAUUUCAUAGACCCACUGCUGCUCCUGGACCUGCACUCCACAAUGGAGAUGACUGGGUUGUGCAUCAAACUUGCUGGACUUGAGAAAGCCUGUGUCCAAAACACAAGGUGUACAGCAUCUCGGAGUUGACAUUUGAGGGAAUACAUGUGCUACAUACAGAAAAGUUGGAAAACACACGUGGAUAUAUACAAGCACACAGAUGCACAAGCACACAGUUGUAAACAUAUUACAGCUUGGGGCUAAGCAAGUAUCUGAAGCCCAGGGAGAUGCCCCUGCACUAGAAGAAACCCUCGAUUGACUCUACUAGCACCCCCA